GACCUUUAAAUAACAAACACUGAUGUUGUGAUUGUGUAAUAUUACAGUACAGUAUUUACACGGUGUCUUAAGAAUAAAAUAAAUAAUAAUUUUUUGGUCUCACAGGACAUUAAAAGCAGCACAAGAGAGGGAGCGAUGGCGAGGGCGAGGGGCGUGGAGGCUGAUCAGGAAAACAAUCCAGAUGGUGGCAGAAGGGGUUUGGGUGGAGUAAGGGUGGUGAGUGGACCCGGUGUUCCACAAAAACCUCUUGGGAGUCUGAGAGACUCAUAAAAGGGAAACCAAUUACACACACACAGCAACAGGAAGAAACAAUGUAUAAUGCAUAAGUCAUUAUCUAAAAAAGGGGGACACAAAGGAGCCAAGAACUAAUGGAGAGCAGGACUGGAAGGCUCUUGGCAGGUCAGAACUUCACCACUGAGUCAUUAACCUUCUCUUUAGCUGUCUGACCAGCGCCAGCUACUACCACUGAGGGAAGUUUGUUUGUUGAAGUCCUCUGACCUCGCCGCCCCUGUUUACGCCUCCAAGCUUCCCGGACUUCUUCUU